CACCGCGGUUAUACGAGAAACCCUAGUUGUUAGAGCACGGCGUAAAGUGUGGUUAAGACAAGCAAGAAACUAAAGCCGAACACUUACAAUGCUGUUAUACGCACCCGAAAGUGAGAAGCCCAACCACGAAAGUGGCUUUAUGACAUCUGAACCCACGUAAGCUAAGACA
rnacentral:rRNA from 1 species